GACGAACGCUGGCGGCGUGCCUAAUACAUGCAAGUAGAACGCUGAAGAGAGGAGCUUGCUCUUCUUGGAUGAGUUGCGAACGGGUGAGUAACGCGUAGGUAACCUGCUUUGUAGCGGGGGAUAACUAUUGGAAACGAUAGCUAAUACCGCAUAACAAUGGAUGACACAUGUCAUUUAUUUGAAAGGGGCAAUUGCUCCACUACAAGAUGGACCUGCGUUGUAUUAGCUAGUAGGUGAGGUAAUGGCUCACCUAGGCGACGAUACAUAGCCGACCUGAGAGGGUGAUCGGCCACACUGGGACUGAGACACGGCCCAGACUCCUACGGGAGGCAGCAGUAGGGAAUCUUCGGCAAUGGGGGCAACCCUGACCGAGUAACGCCGCGUGAGUGAAGAAGGUUUUCGGAUCGUAAAGCUCUGUUGUAAGUCAAGAACGGGUGUGAGAGUGGAAAGUUCACACUGUGACGGUAGCUUACCAGAAAGGGACGGCUAACUACGUG
rnacentral:rRNA from 1 species